rnacentral:rRNA from 1 species
UACGUAGGGUGCAAGCGUUGUCCGGAAUUAUUGGGCGUAAAGAGCUUGUAGGCGGUUUGUCGCGUCUGCUGUGAAAUUUCGGGGCUCAACCCCGAACUUGCAGUGGGUACGGGCAGACUAGAGUGUGGUAGAGGAGACUGGAAUUCCUGGUGUAGCGGUGAAAUGCGCAGAUAUCAGGAGGAACACCGAUGGCGAAGGCAGGUCUCUGGGCCACUACUGACGCUGAGAAGCGAAAGCAUGGGGAGCGAACAGG